rnacentral:lncRNA from 1 species
CGAGAAGAUGAUGGUUUCAAGGCUGUAGAGGGCGGAGUCCAUGUAUUAUUUAACCAUUUCACACAGGCAGCAAGGGGAUCCUUCUUGUCUAGGAGUGGUCGGGAAGGUGAGAGAGGAGAUUAGAAAAUACUUCUCAAGCGUGGGAACAUAGGGCUGUUGACACAAAUAAUCCAUAACUAGCCUAUAAAUCAAAAUGGGAGUGAGUUUAUUAUGAGCCAGAGUGAGGAUUAUAACCCGGGAAGGCCUUAGAAGGCGUUCCGGAGAAGCGUGGGUUCAGUACAGCCUUAUAUCUUUUUAGAACAAAGAACAUACAUUAAACACACCCAGGCUACAUUUUCAUCAAAAUUUCCAAGAGGUAUUCAGUUACAAAUUAGCAGGUCAACAUGAUCGUGAUGUCAGGAAAGGGACUAAUCCCGGGUGUUAGCAACAGGGUGUUACCAACAGGGCGUUCCCAAUAGGGCGUAGGAGGGGAAGCAUACAUUCUUAUCUUAAGAGCGCAUUCUUUAAUGGUUAAGCACAUGCACGAUGCACAUUUGAUGGGCCGUAAGUCAGGCUUUUUAGUUCAAGCUCAAUUAGCUUUGAAUUCGAAAAGUUACCCCGUAUACCUCAAUAGGACCUCCUCACCUGAGUUUAGAUGGACACAUGGCUGCCCCACUGCAGCCACUGCAGCAGGUUGUGACCGUGGGACAAGGUUUGGGCCACAGAGUUGUGCAGUGUCGCCUCUCCCUUCCCACAGUGGCUGUGACACUGGUACAGGGUGCCGUUACUGCAGAGCAGGUAAGGAAAGGCAGCUGCAUCUCUUACAAGCCCUGGAGCAGCCCCCACCAGCCUGCACACCCCCUCAUGGACUUUUUUCAUGACAGAGAAGUAAGCUUCUAUCUUAUUUAAGCCACUGUCUCCUUGAGUCUCUUUGUAGCAUCAGCCUGGCCCAUGUCCUGCUGAAUACAUCCCACGUUAUUAGAAACUAGAUUGCAUGUUAGCAAGUAACCCUUGCGUUAAAAUGGAAAUUAUAAAGCAAAUUA